GCCUGGGUGGCUCAGUCAGUUGAGCAUCUGACUUGGGCUCAGGUCAUGAUCUUGCUGCUCGUGGGUUUGAGACCCACAUCAGGCU
rnacentral:tRNA from 1 species